ensembl:lncRNA
CUACCAGGGGAAUUAGCAGAUCAGCUCACAGAGCAACAGAUGUGGCCCACACCCAUUCGAGGGAAAGAGAAAAAAACACAUUACGCAUGGGUCUCCAACUUAACACCACUGUCAACUUAACAGCAAAGCAGUUGCACAAAUUCAUCCAGGAAAGGGAGUGAACGGAAAACGUAUUGUUUGACUUGGAAUGGCACUGACUGACAUCAUCAUGAAGGCAUCAACCACAGCAGGUCCGGCAAUAACCAUGACAUCGCCAGAAGCCUUCGAACAAGGAAUCAUUGAGGACGUCACCCGUCUGGUCACACAGAAUUUCACAGAACACUUCACACAACCCUUCAGAGCUGAGGAUGACGACCGUGACAGAAUCACCCACCAACCAAGGACCAAGCGGCGUGGUAAAAGACCGCGAAGAAAGCAGCAGCAACAACAGCGGCCAGCAUCACAGGAC